UACGUAGGUGGCGAGCGUUGUCCGGAAUUAUUGGGCGUAAAGAGCGCGUAGGCGGCUUGUCAGGUCCAACGUGAAAUCCCGGGGCUCAACCCCGGACGUGCGUCGGAAACCGGCUUGCUAGAGUCUGGGAGAGGGAAGUGGAAUUCCUGGUGUAGCGGUGAAAUGCGCAGAUAUCAGGAGGAACACCGGUAGCGAAGGCUGCUUCCUGGAACAGUGCUGACGCUGAGGCGCGAAAGCUAGGGGAGCAAACAGGAUUAGAUACCCUGGUAGUCCUAGCCGUAAACGAUGGACACUAGGUGUCGGGAGUGUCGACUCUCCCGGUGCCGAAGCUAACGCAUUAAGUGUCCCGCCUGGGGAGUACGGCCGCAAGGUUAAA
rnacentral:rRNA from 1 species